CCUACGGGAGGCAGCAGUCGAGAAUCAUUCACAAUGGGGGAAACCCUGAUGGUGCGACGCCGCGUGGGGGAAUGAAGGUCUUCGGAUUGUAAACCCCUGUCAUGUGGGAGCAAAUUAAAAAGAUAGUACCACAAGAGGAAGAGACGGCUAACUCUGUGCCAGCAGCCGCGGUAAUACAGAGGUCUCAAGCGUUGUUCGGAAUCACUGGGCGUAAAGCGUGCGUAGGCUGUUUCGUAAGUCGUGUGUGAAAGGCGCGGGCUCAACCCGCGGACGGCACAUGAUACUGCGAGACGAGAGGAAUGGAGGGGGAACCGGAAUUCUCGGUGUAGCAGUGAAAUGCGUAGAUAUCGAGAGGAACACUCGUGGCGAAGGCGGGUUCCUGGACAUUAACUGACGCUGAGGCACGAAGGCCAGGGGAGCGAAAGGGAUUAGAUACCCCAGUAGUC
rnacentral:rRNA from 1 species